rnacentral:lncRNA from 1 species
CACCUGUUUCUUGCUUCAAUUAAUAAAUGGGCUGAAGGGUAUGGGCUGCAGGAACCACGCUGUGAUACUAGCACAUUCACAAAACUGUGUGCGGUAAAGCGAGGUGGGGACCGACUCCCCGGGACAGAGGCUGGGGCUGCCUGUCAGGCGCAGGUUCACUGACCGGUCCAGCAGUGAGAACUGAAGACCCCGGCUUUUCACCCGACUGUGGGCUGGGUUUUAGGGAGUGAGAGGCCUGGAAGAUUUUGAGCAAAUGCAACCUACAGAAAUCCCAAGAAGUGUCAUCAGGGACAGAAGACCAUUCUUUGCCACUAGAUGAGAGCCACACAACUAAGUCACCUCUCCAGCUGAAAAGCCCGUGCCUGCUCCUUCCUCGGGCAAGCCCAGCUUUGGUGCAGGGUCCUCAAAGGCUGACACUUGUGGGAAGGAGCCAGGAAGGCCAUCGAGGUCCUGUGGACAGGCAGGCGCCAGGUUUGUGUGUUCCUGCCUGCGGGUCAGCAUAUCCUAUAAUGUUUUCAGGAAUCAUAUUUUGCUGCUCCUCCUGUCUUGUAGCAUUUCUAAUUAAAGUACCUGCUUGUCUGAACAGGUUUUCUGAGCCUUCGAAAGACACUUUUGUGUUUAUUUUCCUUCAUUUGUAUUUU